rnacentral:tRNA from 1 species
GGCUUUGUGGUCGGGUGGUAAGGACACUUGCCUCUCACCCUGAAGUCCCGGGUUCGAUCCCCGGCUGAGGGGCUA